CUUGGGCAUUGGUGAGGCAUAUACCUAAGUAAAUAAUAAUAGUGGUUGAGUCGGAAAGUAUGGUGUUUAUUGUGUUGGGCACAUAGUACUUAACGAUAAGAACUUUGUAAUCCAAAUCUCCAUAUGUACCCUAGUUGGUCACACUCCAAAAAUGGUCCAUUCAAUUCUAACUAUUAGAAAGAUCUAACAUCCAGAGUGGAUGCUGGAUUGCA
rnacentral:lncRNA from 1 species